rnacentral:rRNA from 1 species
AGAGUUUGAUCCUGGCUCAGAAUCAACGCUGGCGGCGCGCUUAACACAUGCAAGUCGCACGAGAAAGGGGGCAACCCUGAGUAAAGUGGCGUACGGGUGAGUAACACGUGGAUCAUCUACCUUCUAGUGGGGAAUACCCCCGGGAAACUGGGGACAAUACCGCAUAAUCUCGUGAGAGGAAAGCAGCAAUGCGCUGGAAGAGGAGUCCGCGGCUGAUUAGCUAGAUGGUGAGGUAACGGCCCACCAUGGCGAAGAUCGGUAGCCGGCCUGAGAGGGCACACGGCCACACUGGCACUGAAACACGGGCCAGACUCCUACGGGAGGCAGCAGUGGGGAAUCUUGCACAAUGGAGGAAACUCUGAUGCAGCGACGCCGCGUGAGCGAUGAAGCCCUUCGGGGUGUAAAGCUCUUUCGACGGGAACGAUUAUGACGGUACCCGGAGAAGAAGCUGCGGCUAACUACGUGCCAGCAGCCGCGGUAAUACGUAGGCAGCAAGCGUUGUUCGGAAUUACUGGGCGUAAAGAGUGUGUAGGUGGUGCUCUAAGUCCGUCGUGAAAUCUCCCGGCUUAACUGGGAGGGUGCGGCGG